AGAGUUUGAUCCUGGCUCAGGAUGAACGCUAGCGGCAGGCCUAAUACAUGCAAGUCGAACGAUACCAAUGGGCUUGCUCAUUGGGAAAGUGGCGCACGGGUGCGUAACGCGUAUGCAACCUACCUUAAUCAGGGGGAUAGCCCGAAGAAAUUCGGAUUAACACCGCAUAAAAACACAGUACAGCAUUGUACAAUGUUCAAAUAUUUAUAGGAUUAAGAUGGGCAUGCGUGUCAUUAGCUAGUUGGCGGGGUAACGGUCCACCAAGGCGACGAUGACUAGGGGAUCUGAGAGGAUGACCCCCCACACUGGUACUGAGACACGGACCAGACUCCUACGGGAGGCAGCAGUAAGGAAUAUUGGUCAAUGGAGGCAACUCUGAACCAGCCAUGCCGCGUGCAGGAAGACAGCCCUCUGGGUCGUAAACUGCUUUUAUUCGGGAAUAAACCACAUUACGUGUAAUGUGCUGAAUGUACCGAAGGAAUAAGGAUCGGCUAACUCCGUGCCAGCAGCCGCGGUAAUACGGAGGAUCCAAGCGUUAUCCGGAUUUAUUGGGUUUAAAGGGUGCGUAGGCGGCUUAUUAAGUCAGGGGUGAAAGACGGUGGCUCAACCAUCGCAGUGCCUUUGAUACUGAUGAGCUUGAAUACACUAGAGGUAGGCGGAAUGUGACAAGUAGCGGUGAAAUGCAUAGAUAUGUCACAGAACACCGAUUGCGAAGGCAGCUUACUAUGGUGUGAUUGACGCUGAGGCACGAAAGCGUGGGGAUCAAACAGGAUUAGAUACCCUGGUAGUCCACGCCCUAAACGAUGAAUACUCGCUGUUAGCGAUAUACAGUUAGCGGCUAAGCGAAAGCGUUAAGUAUUCCACCUGGGGAGUACGCCCGCAAGGGUGAAACUCAAAGGAAUUGACGGGGGCCCGCACAAGCGGAGGAGCAUGUGGUUUAAUUCGAUGAUACGCGAGGAACCUUACCCGGGCUUGAAAGUUAGUGAAUCAUUUAGAGAUAGAUGAGUCCGCAAGGACACGAAACUAGGUGCUGCAUGGCUGUCGUCAGCUCGUGCCGUGAGGUGUUGGGUUAAGUCCCGCAACGAGCGCAACCCCUAUGUUUAGUUGCCAGCACGUUAUGGUGGGGACUCUAAACAGACUGCCUGUGCAAACAGAGAGGAAGGAGGGGACGACGUCAAGUCAUCAUGGCCCUUACGUCCGGGGCUACACACGUGCUACAAUGGGUGGUACAGAGGGCAGCAAGCUGGCAACAGCAAGCGAAUCUCAAAAAGCCAUUCACAGUUCGGAUAGAGGUCUGCAACUCGACCUCUUGAAGUUGGAUUCGCUAGUAAUCGCGUAUCAGCAAUGACGCGGUGAAUACGUUCCCGGGCCUUGUACACACCGCCC
rnacentral:rRNA from 1 species